CCCUACUGCUAUCGGGGUGGGACUAAGACAUGCAAGUUGUGCGUCUCUAAGCUAUGGUAGAGACGCAGCGUACGGCUCAGUAACACGUGGCUAACCUACCCUUAGGACGGGGACAACCCCGGGAAACUGGGGCUAAUACCCGAUAGGUGAGGAGGCCUGGAAUGGUUCCUAGUCGAAAAGGCGUUGAAACCAUGCUUUUCGACGUCGCCUAAGGAUGGGGCCGCGCCCGAUCAGGUUGUUGGUGGGGUAACGGCUCACCAAGCCUAUAACCGGUACGGGCCGUGAGAGCGGGAGCCCGGAGAUGGGCACUGAGACAAGGGCCCAGGCCCUACGGGGCGCAGCAGUCGCGAAAACUCCGCAAUGCGCGAAAGCGUGACGGGGCUAUCCCGAGUGCCGUCCGCUGAGGAUGGCUUUUCCCCGGUGUAAUGAGCCGGGGGAAUAAGGAGAGGGCAAGUCUGGUGUCAGCCGCCGCGGUAAUACCAGCUCUCCGAGUGGUAGGGAUGAUUAUUGGGCUUAAAGCGUCCGUAGCCGGCUUAGCAAGUCUCCUGUUAAAUUCAGCGACCUAAUCGUUGAGCCGCGGGAGAUACUACUAGGCUAGGAGGCGGGAGAGGCCGACGGUAUUCUCGGGGUAGGGGUGAAAUCCUAUAAUCCCGGGAGGACCACCAGUGGCGAAGGCUGCUAACUAGAACGCGCUCGACGGUGAGGGACGAAAGCUGGGGGAGCGAACCGGAUUAGAUACCCGGGUAGUCCCAGCUGUAAACGAUGCGGGCUAGCUGUUGGGAUGGCCACGAGCCAUUUCAGUGGCGCAGGGAAACCAUUAAGCCCGCCGCCUGGGAAGUACGAUCGCAAGAUUGAAACUUAAAGGAAUUGGCGGGGGAGCACCACAAGGCGUGAAGCUUGCGGUUC
rnacentral:rRNA from 1 species